GAUCAUGGCUACAGAACGAACGCUGGCGGCGCGUUUAAGCAUGCAAGUCGAGCGGCAAGGGCCUUCGGGCCCCUAGAGCGGCGGACGGGUGAGUAACACGUGGACAAUCUGCCCCCCGGCCCGGGAUAGCCCAGGGAAACCUGGAGUUAAUACCGGAUGAGACGGGACCCGCGAUGGCGGGAUCCGGGAAAGGCGCUGCGGCGCCGCCGGGGGAUGAGUCUGCGUCCCAUUAGCUAGACGGCGGGGUAACGGCCCACCGUGGCGACGAUGGGUAGCCGGCCUGAGAGGGUGGACGGCCACAUUGGAACUGAGACACGGUCCAGACUCCUACGGGAGGCAGCAGCUAAGAAUCUUCCGCAAUGGGCGAAAGCCUGACGGAAGCGACGCCGCGUGAACGAAGAAGGCCGUGAGGUUGUAAAGUUCUUUUCGGGAGGGGGAACAACCGUGGCAGGGAAUGGCCGCGGGAUGACGUGAAUCCCGGAAUAAGCCCCGGCUAACUACGUGCCAGCCGCCGC
rnacentral:rRNA from 1 species